ACGGUCACUUCGCGUUAAAACACCGGUUCCCGUACGAUCACCGAAGUUAAUCAAAUUAAAGCACAGUAAGUAGCAACAUGGGGGAAUGCUUGGUAAUACCAGGUGCUGUAAG